rnacentral:rRNA from 1 species
UACGUAGGGGGCUAGCGUUGUCCGGAAUCAUUGGGCGUAAAGCGCGUGUAGGCGGUCCGGUAAGUCCGCUGUGAAAGUCGGGGGCUCAACCCUCGGAUGCCGGUGGAUACUGUCGGGCUUGAGUACGGAAGAGGAGAGUGGAAUUCCCGGUGUAGUGGUGAAAUGCGCAGAUAUCAGGAGGAACACCGAUGGCGAAGGCAGUUCUCUGGGCCGUAACUGACGCUGAGGAGCGAAAGCGUGGGGAGCGAACAGG